UACGGAGGAUGCGAGCGUUAUCCGGAUUUAUUGGGUUUAAAGGGUGCGUAGGCGGAUUUUUAAGUCAGCGGUAAAAUGUCCGGGCUCAACCCGGGCCGGCCGUUGAAACUGGGGAUCUUGAGUGGGCGAGAAGUAUGCGGAAUGCGUGGUGUAGCGGUGAAAUGCAUAGAUAUCACGCAGAACUCCGAUUGCGGAGGCAGCAUACCGGCGCCCGACUGACGCUGAGGCACGAAAGCGUGGGGAUCGAACAGG
rnacentral:rRNA from 1 species